rnacentral:hammerhead_ribozyme from 1 species
AUCCAGUUGACAAGUUCCGAAUCAGACGAAACGCGCGUCCUGGAU